UACAGAGGGUGCGAGCGUUAAUCGGAAUUACUGGGCGUAAAGCGCGUGUAGGCGGCUUGGCAAGUCCGCUGUGAAAACUCGAGGCUCAACCUCGAGAUGUCGGUGGAAACUGCUUGGCUAGAGUCCGGAAGAGGAGUGUGGAAUUCCUGGUGUAGCGGUGAAAUGCGCAGAUAUCAGGAAGAACACCUAUGGCGAAGGCAGCACUCUGGGACGGUACUGACGCUGAGACGCGAAAGCGUGGGUAGCAAACAGG
rnacentral:rRNA from 1 species